CCUAGUUUCCCUCAACUUCAAAGUGACCUUCAGAUUUCAUCACCUCUGUUCUAAAUUGAGUGUUUAUUGAAUGUUAGUGAAAGCUUCGCUGACAGGAAAUGCAGAGCUGUAAUUCAGAGUUUGGGGAAUGUGUGUGUUUCCUUAAUUUCCUUCUUGUCUGUCUGUUCAGGCUUCUCCGUCUGUGUUCGUCUGUGAAUGUUUGUGUUGGGUAAUAAUGGAGUUUCCCACAGUCUUACAGACAGUAUUAGUAGUAAGAUUGAAUCAUAUCUGAUGGGAAUUCAGUAAUCCUGCUGCCUGUCCACGGACUCUAAGGUCACCUCUCUGUGCUGAGGAAAUGAGGUGGAGCCCUUGAAUAUUGGCUUUUGUUUGUGUGUGAGCUACAGAUUUAAGUCCUGUCGCACACUGACCUGUAACAAUUUGCAGUUGCACAUCAGUUGAGUCUGUUUCUUGCGUCUUUUAGUCAUUUAGACAUAGUUUUGAUGAGUUGUGUUGACUUAAUAAUGUUGAUAAUUACGUUAACUCAAUAUUGUGAAUUUGCACUAAAUUAUCCUUGUUAAUUGUUUAAAAACAAAAUUCAAAAUCAUAAUAAGUCAAUUAGAUUAGUUUGGUAACUUACUUUUUCUAGUUUUUGUUUGUCUUUGAACUGGAAACUGCUAUAAUUUGCAGUUUCACAUGAGCAGAGUCAGUUUUUUGUGUCUUUUUGUUAGUUUUUAAACUCGUCUGCAGCUUUGUCCACUGCCUUUGAUCUCACCAACUAUGUAUUUAAAAUUUCUAAGACCUUUAGCCUAAACUUGAGAAUGUGAAAGUGAAGUCAAUCGGUGUUUCCCAAAUCCAUGGUUUACCAUUACGUCACUGAAAGAAGCUCAGAGAUGGUAAUCUGAUGUCAGAAACUGAGAUAUUUCUCAUCACGAGGGCGACUGUUUUCACUUUUGAUUAGCUUCUCGAAUAAUCAGUUAGUUGUUUGGUCAAUGAGAUGUCAGUUGUUUCCCAAAGCCCAAGAUUUUUUUUUAACUCAAACAUAUUCAGUUUACUGUCAUAGAGGAAGAAGAAAUAAGAAAGUAUUCACAUUUAAGAAUCUGAAAUCAGAGGAUUUUGACUAAAGGAAGCUCUUGACUUGGCACUAAGUGAUUUUUAAAAUCAAUGGAUAUGUUACAUAAUUAAAUACAUGGUUGUAAGAUUAAAAAAAAGUAUAUAUCUAUUGAUUUAUAUAAACCACUGAAGUUGCAAAUAUUGAUUUUGAUGAGUUGACAUAAGUGCACAAGGUCAAAUAUUGGGUGUAACUUAAACUCAGCUAUCUGUGGCAAUUGAUUUCAAACAAAGUUCGAGUUUAGUAAGUUCAUUAAAUUGGCUUGAUAACCUAACUAAGUCCUUUAUAACCCAAAAACACAUGUUUAUGCUACCAAUUAUUAUGCAUCAGUGACUGUAGAGGAGAGACUAAUUCCUCAAACUCAAUAUAGUUUGCUGGUUGAGCAUAAUUUCUCUAGAAGUUGUCGUAACUCAAAAAGACUGAUGCUUGCUGCUUUUUGUUGAGUCCAAACAUUUGUUUUCAUGAGGCACUGUACAGUUAUGGCCUAUAUCUGUCAGUGGGAGGCGACUGGGAUCAUGUCCCAGCUCGCUUUUUUGCUCUGAAAACACUCGGAGAGAAAAAAGGGGCCCCGCAGGCCUCACAUUGGUUCGUAUCUUUGACGUGGACGGCAGCCAUGAAGUCAAACCGUAGGCAAAUGAAGUUAGUCUCUGAGCCGAGACGUGGCUCCAUCACCCGGAGACUCUUCAACCCCGAUGCAGAGUAGAUUUAAAUCAGCGGACGGGGGAGGUUUCAACCCGUCUUGGGAUGACCGAUCCAAACUCUGCCCCAGAAAGUCGGUUAAAGAGGCGAUCGGAGGCAUCUCCCCGAGUCUGUCUGUCAGAGCGCAUUCUUGCCUUCACCUGAAUUAAACGAAACCACGCAGUCAGAGCUGCAGGCCGGGACAUGUUUAAUGGCCAUAAACUGAAACUAGGCUAGUUUCUCCCCAUAGACACAGAAGAAGUAGCUCCUCUCUUCGUUCUUUCUUUCCUUUCCUUCUCCAUCUCUUUAUCUCUCUGACACAGAUGCUGAUACGAUCUGUUUGGGGACUCGCAAUUUCAUACUCUGUUGUUUUUCCUUGUUGCCUGCAAAGCUCGGAUGUCUGCGAGAUGGCGAGCACAAAGGCGAGCUGUGUGCAGAGGCAGAUAUGAUUUUAUGACUCCUUGCAUUAAGAGCAGUCGAACUUUGAUGAAGUAUUUAAUAUUUCUGUGUUUGCGCCGCUCAUGCAAAGUGUCAACAGCUGCAGUAUUUUACUCUGCGCCCACUCGGAGCCUUUCAAUCCGAGCUGUAAAUUACCAGGAGGUUUUAGUCGUGGUCCUUGUGGGAAACAGCAGGGGCCCGAACACUCGGAUUCAAUGCUGCUAUUGUGCUGCUCUGCUACAUGAAGGGGUUUGUGUGUCUGUGUGGGUGUGUUGGGGGGUUUUGUCGAUGACUGUCUUUACAAGCCGGACCCUGAACACAACAAAUCAGGACCAAGACAUCCUGAGCAUGCCUCGUGCCCUCAGUGUUGUCUUACAGGCACCAGCUACUGUUUUCUCUUGGAUUUUCUGGCUCUUUCUUUCUUUUUCUUUUUUUUUUUAACCUUAAUUUUGUCGCUCGUUUUCCAAAUCUGGGCAUUAAACCAAAAAGUUGUCACCAGCUCCUUACUGAGAUUCAUAGUCUUGCUUUUACAGCUAUAACAGUCAGCAAAAUUAAUCAGCAGAUGAUCUACAACAGAAAAUUAACCAUUAUCAUAAUUAAUUAAUUGUUUAUGUCAAGGAAAAGUGGUGAAUUUGAACUCAUCCCAGCUGCUUAAAAGGCAAACAGCUUCAUCAAAGUCUUUACGAGGUUGUGAUCUGCAUUUCAUAAACCAAACAACUGAUUAAUACUUAAAACAACUAUUAUUAUUACUAUAGUUGAUUCAUUUGUCUGUUAUUUUCUUGAUUAACUGUCUAGUUGUUUGGUCUAUAAAAUAGUGGAAAUAGUGAUGAGAGCUUCCUAAAGCCCAAUAUGAAGUCAUCAAAUGUCUUGUUUGGGCCACAACCCAAAGAUAUUCAAUUUACUCUCACAAAGGAGGAAAGAAAUGAGAAAAUAUUUACUUUCAAGACACUCUUUCUUCAAAGAAUUACACUGACAGAUUAUCUGAUUAUCCAAAUUGUUGCUGCUUAAUUUAUUAGGUGACAACUACUCAAUUUAUUGUUGCUGCUGUAAUUGAAAUAGUAAUUUGGCCAAUUUAGGAUUAUCAUAUUUUUAGUGGUUGAGGCUCUGUGUUACUGAUCAGUGACCGCCAUGCUGCCACUCUUCACCCCUACAGGAUCUUCUGAGGGCCCCAAUAUCACCCUUGUUUUAAGGUUUUGCACGUUAUCUAAACUGUGGCAACUGCUGGAGCAUUUCAAUCAUGUAGAUCCACCAGCAAACAAUUCUGUCUGUGUCCUCAACAAAUUUCAUGGCUGUGGUAGUUUUAUUUCUGGAGGUAUUGAACCCUUAAAAUGACUUUUCAGGUUAGAUGUUUUCAUUUUGUUUCAAAAUUCUUGCAUCUGAAAACAUGAGAUUCUCAAAAUUCAACUAAAAACAUUUCACUGAACUUAUUUUUGGGUCCUGAAUAACAAAUAAGCCUAAAGAUGCUCCAGGGGCCACUUGUCAUGGCUGAUCCUGCACACUGACCCCAACCUCCUAACAAGCUGGGAUUUGCAAAACAAGAAAGAAA